rnacentral:rRNA from 1 species
AGCAGUCGCCACGGUAAUACGAAGGGGGUUAGCGUUGUUCGGAUUUACUGGGCGUAAAGGGCGCGUAGGCGGACUGAUAAGUCAGGGGUGAAAUCCCAAGGCUCAACCUUGGAACUGCCUUUGAUACUGUUUGUCUUGAGUUCGAGAGAGGUAAGUGGAACUGCGAGUGUAGAGGUGAAAUUCGUAGAUAUUCGCAAGAACACCAGUGGCGAAGGCGGCUUACUGGCUCGAUACUGACGCUGAGGCGCGAAAGCGUGGGGAGCAAACAGGAUUAGAUACCCCUGUAGUCCCUGUCUCUUAUAC